UACGGAGGGGCUAGCGUUGUUCGGAAUUACUGGGCGUAAAGCGCGCGUAGGCGGACCUGCAAGUCGGGGGUGAAAGCCCGAGGCUCAACCUCGGAACUGCCUCGAUACUGCGGGUCUCGAGUCCGGGAGAGGUGAGUGGGAAUUCCUAGUGUAGAAGGUGAAAUUCGUAGAUAUUAGGAAGAACACCAGUGGCGAAGGCGGCUGCACUGCCCGGUACGACGCUGAGGCGACGAAAGCGUGGGGAGCAAACAGGAUUGAGACUACCC
rnacentral:rRNA from 1 species